rnacentral:rRNA from 1 species
AGAGUUUGAUCCUGGCUCAGGACGAACGCUGGCGGCGUGCUUAAUACAUGCAAGUCGAGCGGUAAGGCCCUUUCGGGGGUACACGAGCGGCGAACGGGUGAGUAACACGUGGGUGACCUGCCCUUAGCUCUGGGAUAAGCCUGGGAAACUGGGUCUAAUACCGGAUAUGACCUCAUGGUGCAUGGUGUGGGGUGGAAAGUGUUUGCGGCUAGGGAUGGGCCCGCGGCCUAUCAGCUUGUUGGUGGGGUGAUGGCCUACCAAGGCGACGACGGGUAGCCGGCCUGAGAGGGUGAUCGGCCACACUGGGACUGAGACACGGCCCAGACUCCUACGGGAGGCAGCAGUAGGGAAUUUUGCGCAAUGGGCGGAAGCCUGACGCAGCGACGCCGCGUGAGGGAUGACGGCCUUCGGGUUGUAAACCUCUUUCAGCCCUGACGAAGCGAGAGUGACGGUAGGGGUAGAAGAAGCACCGGCCAACUACGUGCCAGCAGCCGCGGUAAUACGUAGGGUGCGAGCGUUGUCCGGAUUUAUUGGGCGUAAAGAGCUCGUAGGCGGCCUGUCGCGUCGACGUGUGAAAACUCGGGGCUCAACCCUGAGCUUGCGGUUGAUACGGGCAGGCUAGAGUUCGGUAGGGGAGACUGGAAUUCCUGGUGUAGCGGUGAAAUGCGCGAUAUCAGGAGGAACACCGGUGGCGAAGGCGGGUCUCUGGGCCGAUACUGACGCUGAGGAGCGAAAGCGUGGGGAGCGAACAGGAUUAGAUACCCUGGUAGUCC